rnacentral:rRNA from 1 species
GAUGAACGCUAGCUACAGGCUUAACACAUGCAAGUCGCGGGGCAGCAUGGGGGUUGCUUGCAAUCCCCGAUGGCGACCGGCGCACGGGUGAGUAACGCGUAUCCAACCUGCCCUUCACCACGGGAUAACCCGGCGAAAGUCGGACUAAUACCGUAUGUUGUCCAUUGACAGCAUCCGAUUUGGACGAAAGGUUUGGCGGUGAAGGAUGGGGAUGCGUCCGAUUAGCUGGACGGCGGGGUGACGGCCCACCGUGGCGACGAUCGGUAGGGGUUCUGAGAGGAAGGUCCCCCACACUGGAACUGAGACACGGUCCAGACUCCUACGGGAGGCAGCAGUGAGGAAUAUUGGUCAAUGGGCGUAAGCCUGAACCAGCCAAGUAGCGUGCAGGAUGAUGGCCCUAUGGGUUGUAAACUGCUUUUAUGCGGGGAUAAAGUGGCCCACGUGUGGGUUUUUGCAGGUACCGCAUGAAUAAGGACCGGCUAAUUCCGUG